CCACAUUCAACAUUCCGCUGUUCGACCGAUAGAGGAACAGCACUGUGGAUUGUUUGUCAAUAUCUUCGAGUUAGUUAAUUUUUACUGACUUUUAUAUGUAAAGCAAUCAAUUUACGAUGACACGAAAGGCCGAAAAAAUAUCUUGACUGUAAAUGUGUCAGAGUGUAUAGUGUACGUGUAUAGAACACACGGAUAAUACUGUCAAGGAGAACGUCGUAUAUGUGCAAUAAUGCUACUUUUAUAUGCAAGUCAGGAAUUCCAUCUGUUUCAUUAAGGAAAAGAAUGUUUGGAACUCUUGCAUUACAAAGAGUAUCUAAUCUUUCUUAAAUUAAUUUUUUUAUUUUAUACGUUACCAUGGAUGUUUAAUAAAACUACCAGCUUUCCAAGUGAAAAAAUAAAAAUUUAUAAUACAAAAAAAAAACGGAUAACUCUUGACGAUAAAAAAGUUCCAUAAAUUGGUACUUUUAAUCGAUACAAUUUAAAAAAUGUACAUCAGAAUGAUACUACAAAGAAAUAUAGGUGGUUUAUAUAGUAAAGAUGAAUAUGUCAGACAACUGUGUAUCCUGUUUAGUUGAUGCACAGAAUAUUGUCUUAGACAAUUGUCGAUUACCUUUAUUGCAUAUCUUUAAUCUUGCUCUUUUGGAGCAAUCCGAUUGUCAUAAAGUAACCAGUGUUCAUAAAAUCACUUUUAAUGAGGCUGAAAGCACAUAUAGGAAGGCUAACUCUCUUUUGAGAAAGUACAGUGUUCUACAACUGACUUUCAUGAACAAUGAACCAUUCGGGAAGUGGAAAACGUCAGGCGAAGGUUUUGGAAGAAAAUUAUUGGGACUGCAGUGUCUGCACAUAUAGGAAUACCGCAGAAGCAUUUAAGUGCCUCAUGUGUGACGUCCGCAAAGGAACUUCCACGCGGAAACCCCGCAUUAAUCCCCAACUUGUGGCACAACAGGUUGCGCAGCAACAAUAUGUACCACUUUUAAAGCCAGGGAAAAAAGAAGGCGGAAGUGGAGGUAGUACAGCUAGUAGUGGUAAAGAGAAAGACCGUAAAUUGGACAAACCACGACGUAAAAAUAGGCAUCCGCCGCGUCUUAAAAAUAUAGAUCGCAGUACAGCUCAAACCAAUGAAGUGACAGUAAAUAACGUUACUGUCGUUAUUACGGAAUAUAAGCCCAAAGUGAAAAAAAGUUCAGAUCAGUCUGGUUUAUCUAGCAGUGCUUCUUCUGAAAAUGGAAGUCAACACGAUUCUAAUCAAGACUCUAGAAGUUUGGAUAUAGGAACUGAUGCUUAGCUCAAUGUGCUAUAUCACAUAUGUGUAUGAAUUAAUCUAAUUAAUAUAUUAUAUAUUGUUAUAUAACAUUUAAUGAGGUCAGACGUUUUAUGCUAUCAGUGGAAUCAUUGAAUUUUUAUGACUUGAAUAUGAAAUAAGAAAUAUGACGUAUACAUUGUUAUUUCGUAUUAACAUCAAAAUUGUCUGUUUCAUAAAAAUGAUCUAGUUUAUAUCCAGAUGCAUUAACAGAAGUUGUACUUAAUGUUAUUUAUUCUAUAGUAUCAGUAUUCUAAAUUACAAAUUUAAUAUUUAAUUGAAUAUUUUAGUUAAUUUUGUUUGUGCAACUUCAAAUAUUACUUAUCCAUCUUAUAUAAUAUUGACUGUAACAAACGCAUUAUAUGCAUUAAUAAUGCAUAUAGAAUUUGAUAUAUCCAUUGUUGCCAUAAUAAUGUCCACAUGACUUUCAUUGAAUCUAUUAACACCACUGCCAGAAAGCAUCUUGUAAGAUUAUUGUUAAUUAAAAUGUUUUAGCGAACUCAUUUAUGUAUGAGUUAUUUAACUUGUUUAUUUAAUAAUUACUGUGACAGCGAAUUAAGAAACUGGCAUCGGUACGUAUACACCUUUAUCCCAUUCCAAAUCAUUCGCUCCAAGCUUUAUACUUUCAUAGUGAUUAAUUCCAUUCAUGUAAAAAUUUCUAGUUUGUAUAUGACAGUUUAUGCAAUUAAAGUAUGUAACAUAAUAUAAAAUGGAAUACGA